rnacentral:rRNA from 1 species
UGAAUUGCAGAAUCCCGUGAACCAUCGAGUCUUUGAACGCAAGUUGCGCCCGAGGCCACCCGGCUGAGGGCACGUCUGCCUGGGCGUCACGCCACCCUCGCUACCCCAUGGCCGUCGGUGCGGUCAUGGGUGACGCGGAGAUUGGCCAUCCGUGUCAGGCUGUGUGCGGUUGGCCCAAAAAUCUGGUAGCGGUGCGGCACGGCACGACGUGUGGUGGUUGAGAGGUGACCCAUCUCUGCUCUUACGUCGUGCCCGCUGCCCCGCCGCGCUUAGCCACAAGCGUGGGACCCAACUCGCCCGUUCAAACGGGCGAUCGAAUCGCGACCCCAGGUCAGGCGGGGCCACCCGCUGAGUUUAAGCAUAUCAAUAAGCGGAGGAGAAGAAACUUACGAGGAUUCCCCUAGUAACGGCGAGCGAACCGGGANGCAGCCCAGCUUGUGAAUCGGAUGGCCCUGCCGUCUGAAUUGUAG